UACAUGGGGUGCAAACGUUGCUCGGAAUCAUUGGGCGUAAAGCGCACGUAGGCGGUUGCUUAAGUCGGAUGUGAAAGCCCUCGGCUUAACCGAGGAAGUGCAUCCGAAACUGAGCAGCUAGAGUACGAAAGAGGGUCGCGGAAUUCCCGGUGUAGAGGUGAAAUUCGUAGAUAUCGGGAGGAACACCGGUGGCGAAGGCGGCGACCUGGGUCGAGACUGACGCUGAGGUGCGAAAGCGUGGGGAGCAAACAGG
rnacentral:rRNA from 1 species